CCAAAUCCACCUCUUGAACCGCCGCCAAAUCCACCUCUUGAAUUACCGCCAAAUCCACCUCUUGAACCACCACGGCCGCCGCGGAAACCACCGCGACCACCACGGCCUGCAGGUCCAUUACGAGCUCCCUUAGGCUUCUUAGGCCCAACUGUCUUAGGUUUAGGCAGGAAACGAUCCAAAGGAAUUAGUUUAUCACCGCUAAGGUACACUUUAUCACCAACCUUGAAUGAGCUGGAAACAAUUCCCUCAGAAGGCUUCACAGUAAAAUAUACUUGGUUCAUAGGGCCAAAGACUUCAUCUAUUUUACCAAUUUGGGACUAUGCUACGUUAGUGAUUAUAAAAUACUUAUUUUCUAUAUUAGAGAAACACAUACCUUGUUCUCCAGAUAAAUAGGGGCAUUGAAAUAAGGUAUUUUAACAUUGGUUGACUGGCAAACCAUUUCUCCUUCACAAUCGUGCAUGAAUAAUCCAAGUUCUAAAGGUAUGUCAGCAACUCCUUAUCAUAAACUUAGGCACUGGAAAAUUUCCUCUUGUUUUUUUCUUACCAAUGACUUGAUCGGGUGGACCUGAAGGAGUAAAAGGACGAGAUCCACCUCGUCCUCCUCUAAAUCCACCACCGCGACCGCCUCUAAAACUCAUUUCAGCUUGGCAGUUAGACUACUGAUGGUAUGGUGUUAGGACAGAUUCCAAAGUACACUUUUCGAGUUACAACGAAAAUUUCGCUGUCACAUUGCGUUUUGGUGUUGAGUACCGCACUGCUAUUCGUUAUUAAGCGUCACCAAGCAGCACUAUAUAUUUUUGCGUGUCAGCAAUACUACACUACGCUACGAUACACUACGUUGCGUAUCACUAUAUGUCACAUGUUCUAAUUAUAUAUCGUACCAUGUAUGAUACGAUAUGGAGAUUGAUCUUAAUGAUAAUCUAUUAAGAUCUAUAUUAUCUGAAUAAUAUAAAUAGAGCUACUGCUGAACCUCGUUCCUCAGUUCAGUUAUGAGCUAUAUUAGUGAUAGGUAACAUUAUAACCCAGUUAAUACAAUACCUAUACUCAGUUGCUACUUAUACA